rnacentral:rRNA from 1 species
CAGUAGCCACGGUAAUACGGAGGGUGCAAGCGUUAAUCGGAAUUACUGGGCGUAAAGCGCACGCAGGCGGUCUGUCAAGUCAGAUGUGAAAUCCCCGGGCUUAACCUGGGAACUGCAUUUGAAACUGUCAGGCUGGAGUCUUGUAGAGGGGGGUAGAAUUCCAGGUGUAGCGGUGAAAUGCGUAGAGAUCUGGAGGAAUACCGGUGGCGAAGGCGGCCCCCUGGACAAAGACUGACGCUCAGGUGCGAAAGCGUGGGGAGCAAACAGGAUUAGAUACCCGAGUAGUCCCUGUCUCUUAUAC